GAGGGAUUUAGUGUAGGUCAGCAGAACUUCAAAAGAAAGGAGAGUUUUAGGUAUAAUUUCUUCAAAACUCCUUCUCCCUGUUUUGAGCACUUUCUCUGCUGAAACAGAAAGUAUUCUCCUUCUGCAUUUGAAUCACUCCCAUGAUUAACGAAUCACUCCAGCGGAGUCAAAUGUCCUCAGUUCAAUUACCUUUCUCAAGGACACACAGGUCAAUUGCUUCUCCUUCUCCAUAAAUAGUAAAGUCAAACGAGACUAUUUCUUGGAAUUUAACUCGAAAUAUCUUCAGCAAGAUUAAGAGUUUCACAUAGGGCCUAUGACUAAUGACAACAAUCCAUUCUGAGCUCAUUACACAAACCCGUAUACAGAACAUUUAUCCUUUCUGAAAAGAACAAUGAAGUGCUUCAGGAGAGGGGUCCCUCAGGAGCUGUGCAUAAACACCUGGAGAUUUACAGUGAAGUCAAAGAAGAAAUGGAAAAGGCCUUUGCCCUUUCUCUGCAUUUGUUGAUGGUUUCUCAUAAUAUAAAAUACUCCUUUAGCAAAGGCUAGUUCCAAGUCCUGGUCUCCAGAAACAGUGUGAUUGAUUGAUUUGGAUUGUUAUAGAAAACAAUGGUACAGGGAGAGCUGGAAUGCUUCCUUUGUUUUCUAAUGGAUUUCUCAUCCAGAUUCAUGGCAAGCCCUGAACUGAAGACAUGAUGUGCAGCAUGCUCAACUGUAAUUGCUUGGAGAGUGGCAGGAGCGCGCAGGCCUCUCGGGAGCUCCCCAGGGUGGAGCCUGCGCUGGAGGCGGGACUGGAUCCCGGCAGCCUGGAGUCCCCAGGGCGCGGCUCGCCGUUGGUUCUGUCCAUGCAAAGCCUCGCGGGCCAGAGGACACGGAAAGCGUGGCCUGGGCGGGGCCGCCUGCCCGACUCCUCAGGCAUGGAAUGGGAGGACAGGGGCAACAGAGGAGGGUGGCGGCAAGUCCUGACUUCACAGGUGUGAGUGCUCCGAGCCCUCUGUGGUUGGGGUGGGGUAAGGAAUACAAAAGCGGUGGAGGUCCUUAGUGACAUUUCCCGAAGAAGGCAGAAAUCUGUGUGGACCAGGAGAGGCGUUUUGUGUCCUUUUUUUCUUUAUAGAUGCCUCACGUGCACUAGAGCUACGGCUGCCUCCCUGGGAAUAUUCCUCUGCAGGCCUGUCCCUCACACACCAGGCCACUUCUAACAGAUGGGCCACUCCUCAACACGUGGCACCUGGGGCUGGCGUCAGUCCCAAGACGGAGGCCAAAGCUUAAACUCCCAGCAUCAGGCACGGGGCGUGUCACCCGGAUGCUAGGGACCAGCUCUCACUCCUCAGGGGUGCAAACAUAAAGUGCUGCAUUCUUGCAUAUGGACUAGUCACUGCAGCAUCACCGUGUUAGUCUAAGGCAUUAGGAGCUCCUCCUUGGCGCGGGUGUUUUGUAGCAGAGGCUGCCAGCUGGCGGGUCACCCAGAGCGGGUCGGGUCCCCAGCGACCCCACAGCCCCCGCCUUGGAACCCCCAGGCUGCCUGGGUCCUCAGGAAAGUCGCAAGGACUCCACUCAGGAACCCUGUGUGUGGUAGGCGCAGACCAGAGCAGAAACGCAGAGGGAUUUAGAAGACGCUCAGAAGAACGCAUGCAAAUGAAGUGCAUUUACCUUGCUUGGUUGUUUGGGUCUAUAUCCUAAUUCCAAUUCUUCUGAGUGAUUUGCAGGAGACUGCCCUGCGAACCUAAGCAGAAUUCCGAGAAAACCCCAUCCAGGGGUCUCUGUUCCUCACUCAGUAUCAUCUUGACUAGUGUUCUUCUCUUCAGAGAUUUACAUUAAAACGGACUCUGAUAAAGAACAGCAGCUCUGUGACAAAAUUCCACAGUGCGUGGCGGUGGCACUCCCAGGUCUGGACUUUGUGUCCUCCCGGUGAGGACCGAGUUCCUGGUCCUGUGCUGGGCCGACUGUGGGCCUUGACAAAGACACCGCCUCCACUUCCACCCAGUGGAACAUCUGUACCGUCCUGUGAAGAUUGCCAGCCUCUCUGUGAUAACAAACAAGGAAACCCUGAGGCUUAAUACAAAAUUAUACUAAUAACAGUAUGCCUCACUCAUGAGAGUCCUCUCCAGCAAGGACUCAGGGAUCCGCCUGUUUCCAACUUCCGGCUCCAGCAUCUCAACGCCAGGCUUCCACCAUUAUCAGGGGGCAAAUGACUGCAUCUAACCAACACUCAAGAGGAAGAUAAUCAAACUCCACCUUUUGAAUGGAAAAGUAUCAGUCAAUUUGUGGACAUUUAUUUAAAGCACCAAAGAACUCCCCAAUAGAGGACAUCACAAAGUUCAACCCGAUCUUUGUAUUCUGCUUAAAGUUUAGGAACUUGGGGUGAUAUGAAGGCAACUCCAUCAAGCCCAAUAUGGCUACUUUUAGUCCAGAAAACUAGAUAACAAAAAGGCUCAUAAAUGAAAAGAAUGUUGUUCCCGGCUCAUAAAUGAAAGGAAUGUCUUCGUUAUUCAUAAAUCCCUUGGAUCACACCUGAAUAUGCUGACUAUGCUAACAAGACAAUUCAGGACGGGGGCUGGUAAACAGAAAGACCACACACAUGAUUAGAAGGUUGGGAAUUUGAGCAAACCUGAUUUUCUGUGAGUGAAUGGAGGGCUGGAUGUUGAGUCUAAACUGAUUGACCACAGUCAUGCCCAAUAAAAUAUCUGGACAUAAGAGCAUGGUGGGGCUUCCCAAUGGGUGCUGCAAGGGGGAUGCAUCCUGAUUUUAUGAGGAGAGGUCAUGGAAGCUCUCUAUUUGGAACUCUCCCAGAUUUCAACCCGUAUGUCUUUUCAUUUGGCAGUUCC
rnacentral:lncRNA from 10 species